rnacentral:rRNA from 1 species
CCUACGGGAGGCAGCAGUGGGGAAUAUUGCACAAUGGGGGAAACCCUGAUGCAGCGACGCCGCGUGAGUGAAGAAGUAUUUCGGUAUGUAAAGCUCUAUCAGCAGGGAAGAAAAUGACGGUACCUGAUUAAGAAGCCCCGGCUAACUACGUGCCAGCAGCCGUGGUAAUACGUAGGGGGCAAGCGUUAUCCGGAUUUACUGGGGGUAAAGGGAGCGUAGACGGCAGCACAAGUCUGGAGUGAAAUGCCGGGGCUUAACCCCGGAACUGCUUUGGAAACUGUGCAGCUAGAGUGCAGGAGAGGUAAGUGGAAUGCCUGGUGUAGCGGUGAAAUGCGUAGAUAUUAGGAGGAACACCAGUGGCGAAGGCGGCUUACUGGACUGUAACUGACGUUGAGGCUCGAAAGCGUGGGGAGCGAACAGGAUUAGAUACCCGGGUAGUC